UGUGUGUGUAGGACAAUGGAAGGGAACGC
rnacentral:piRNA from 1 species